rnacentral:rRNA from 1 species
CCUACGGGUGGCUGCAGUGGGGAAUAUUGGACAAUGGGCGAAAGCCUGAUCCAGCCAUGCCGCGUGUGUGAAGAAGGCCUUCGGGUUGUAUAGCACUUUCAGUGGGGAAGAAAGCCUUGGGGCUAAUACCCUCGAGGAAGGACAUCACCCACAGAAGAAGCACCGGCUAACUCCGUGCCAGCAGCCGCGGUAAUACGGAGGGUGCGAGCGUUAAUCGGAAUUACUGGGCGUAAAGCGCGCGUAGGCGGUCUGAUAAGCCGGUUGUGAAAGCCCCGGGCUCAACCUGGGGACGGCAUCCAGAACUGUCAGGCUAGAGUGCAGGAGAGGAAGGUAGAAUUCCCGGUGUAGCGGUGAAAUGCGUAGAGAUCGGGAGGAAUACCAGUGGCGAAGGCGGCCUUCUGGACUGACACUGACGCUGAGGUGCGAAAGCGUGGGUAGCAAACAGGAUUAGAUACCCCAGUAGUC